rnacentral:piRNA from 1 species
UGACGAUCCAUUACCUCUGUGCAUAG